CCUCUGACAACCCUAGAGAUAGGGCUUUAGUAGCAAUACUACAGAGUGACAGGUGCUGCAUGGCUGUCGUCAGCUCGUGUGGUGACAUGUUGGGUUAAGUCCCGCAACGAGCGCAACCCUUGUCUUUAGUUGCCAGCAUUCAGUUGGGCUCUCUAAAGAGACUGCCGUGGUUAACACGGAGGAAGGUGGGGAUGACGUCAAGUCCUCAUGGCCUUUAUAUCCAGGGCGACACACGUGAUACAAUGGACGGUACAGAGGGACGCCAAGUGGUAACACGGAGCUAAUCUCAAAAAGCCGUUCUCAGUUCGGAUUGGAGUCUGCAACUCGACUCCAUGAAGUUGGAAUCGCUAGUAAUCGCGGAUCAGCACGCCGCGGUGAAUACGUUCCCGGGCCUUGUACACACCGCCCGUCACACCAUGGGAGCUGACUCAACCAGAAGACGGUCAGGCUAACCGCAAGGAGGCCUCCGGCGAAGGUGG
rnacentral:rRNA from 1 species